GAUAAUGUUUGCAUCAGAAGUUUAAAUGUUUUACGUGAUCCAUUUCUGUUUACUUUGGUUAGACUUCGUAAAGCUUUAAGUCUCAAUGAAAAACUAUCCUCCACUAAUGUUCUGGGGGUUAAAACAACUGAUGGGCCUGGAGUAAGUAGUGAAGAAAAUGCCGCUGAUAUCAUGAGUACAGGUUCCAAUAGCAGAGAUGAUUCACAUAGAUUUGAGCAGCAGGAUCAACAGUCUCAUUGGGGGAUUUCAGAUAUUAGACAAGGCCAUACCUCUUUUGGUUCUGGAGUUACAGUGCUUGAGCCAUUGCCUUUGCACCAUCCAUCAAAAACUCUGCAGUCCUGGAGCCCCAAGUCAGCUUUAUGUUCUUUUGUGAAGAAUCUAGGUCAGCUCGGGGCUGAUUCAAUUGCAAAGCUGAAAAGGUUGAAGCUCGAGAUGAGUCCAACAGUGGAGGAUAUUGUUGCUGAACUUGUUGAUGGGGAUGAAGGGAAC
rnacentral:misc_RNA from 1 species